UACGAAGGGUGCAAACGUUGCUCGGAAUUAUUGGGCGUAAAGCGCACGUAGGCGGCUUAGCAAGUUGGAUGUGAAAGCCCUCGGCUUAACCAAGGAAGUGCAUCCAAAACUGCUGAGCUUGAGUAGUUAAGAGGAUCGCGGAAUUCCCGGUGUAGAGGUGAAAUUCGUAGAUAUUCGGAGGAACACCAGUGGCGAAGGCGGCUCACUGGCUCGAUACUGACGCUGAGGUGCGAAAGCGUGGGGAGCAAACAGG
rnacentral:rRNA from 1 species